CUUUUCUCAUGGUUGGUGAUAAAAGUUGGUAAACAGGGACAAUAUUGUAGUUUAAAAGGAGCAAAAUAUGACUGUAAGAUAAACUAAAACACUGUGUGGCAGCUGGGCUGAUUAUUAUACUUCAAUGGUUUUCACGAUCUCUUCAUCACAGUUGAUGAGCUCAACGAGGAGUUUGUCUCCUUUGGUCCAACGAUUCAGGUCCUUCCAUUGCAGGUUAGAGGGAAGAGGAUAAUGGGGAGUACAACCAUGGGCCCAUAU